rnacentral:rRNA from 1 species
UACGAAGGGUGCGAGCGUUAUUCGGAAUUACUGGGCGUAAAGCGUGCGUAGGCGGUUCGUUAAGUUCGUUGUGAAAGCCCAGGGCUCAACCUUGGAAUGGCAAUGGAAACUGGCGAGCUGGAGUAUGGCAGAGGGGGGUGGAAUUCCGCGUGUAGCGGUGAAAUGCGUAGAGAUGCGGAGGAACACCGAUGGCGAAGGCAGCCCCCUGGGCCAAUACUGACGCUCAGGCACGAAAGCGUGGGGAGCAAACAGG